GUGAUAUUGUUGCAUUUCCCCAGAUAUUUACACAGUGGAAUCUGCCUGCUGAACCUCUGCUAGGUUCAUCUUGAUGCAGAAACAGCAAACUGUUCAUUUGAAUGGACAUUCAAAUGCAUUGACAGCUAUGACAGUUAGUAAAGCCUGAGGUAUCAGUUUGCUGACUGUCAAAACCUUAUCAGCCUUCUUAUGAGAGAGCACGGGUCCACCUACGUGAGACAUUAUGUUGUGAAAGACCCUGCUCUCCUGGAUGGUCUCGCCUAUUAGGAUCUGAUAUUGGAGAAACAACGGACUGCAGAUGCUGGAAUCCUGACCCUAAAUGUUGACCGCCUGCUUUUCUCCAUGGAUGCUGCCUGGCCUGCUGAGUUCCUCCAGCAUCAGGAUCAGAUAAUUGCUUCGAGAGAUGUGCACAUGCUCCUGUUUACGUCAGUGGUGCUGAGCUGAGAGGGUCGAGAGCUUCAAGUUCCUAGAAGUGAACAUCACCAAUAGCCUGUCCUGGUCCAACCAUGCAGACACCCCGGCCAAGAAAGCUCACUAGUGCCUCGACUUCCUCAGGAGGCUAAAGAAAUUUGGCAUGUCCCUUUUGAUCCUCACCAAUUUUUAUAGAUACACCAUAGAAAGCAUCCUAUUUGGAUAUAUCAAGGCUUGGUAUGGCACCUGCUCUGCCCAAGACCACAAGUAACUGCAGAGAGUUGUGGACACAACUCAGCACAUCACGGAAAUCAACCUUCCCUUCAUGGACUCUGUCUACACUUCUCGUUGCCUUGGUAAUCAAAGACCCCGCACACCCUGGACAUUUUCUCUUCUCUCCCUUCCUACUGGGCAGAAGAUACAAAAGCCUGAAAGCACAUACCACAAAGUCUCAAGGACAGCUUCUAUCCCACUGAUAUAAAACUAUUAAACGGUCCCCUAGUACGAUAAAAUGGACUCUUGACCUCACAAUCUACCUCGUUAUGGCCUUGCACCUUAUUGUCUGCCUGCAUUGUACUUUCUCUGUAACUGUAACACUUUAUUCUGCAUUCUAUUAUUGUUUUCCCUUGUACUACAUCAAUGCAUUGAUGUGAUAAAAUAAUCUGUAUGGAUGGAAUGCAAAACAAAGUUUUUCACUGUAUCUUGGUACAUGUGACAAUAGGAAACCAAUUUACCAAUUUAAAGAGAAUGACAGGGCCCUAGGGAGUGCUGUAGAACAGAAACACAGGGGUAU